rnacentral:rRNA from 1 species
AUUGAACGCUGGCGGCAGGCCUAACACAUGCAAGUCGAGCGGAUGAAGGGAGCUUGCUCCUGGAUUCAGCGGCGGACGGGUGAGUAAUGCCUAGGAAUCUGCCUGGUAGUGGGGGAUAACGUCCGGAAACGGGCGCUAAUACCGCAUACGUCCUGAGGGAGAAAGUGGGGGAUCUUCGGACCUCACGCUAUCAGAUGAGCCUAGGUCGGAUUAGCUAGUUGGUGGGGUAAAGGCCUACCAAGGCGACGAUCCGUAACUGGUCUGAGAGGAUGAUCAGUCACACUGGAACUGAGACACGGUCCAGACUCCUAAGGGAGGCAGCAGUGGGGAAUAUUAGACAAUGGGCGAAAGCCUGAUCCAGCCAUGCCGCGUGUGUGAAGAAGGUCUUCGGAUUGUAAAGCACUUUAAGUUGGGAGGAAGGGCAGUAAGUUAAUACCUUGCUGUUUUGACGUUACCAACAGAAUAAGCACCGGCUAACUUCGUG